GACGAACGCUGGCGGCAUGCCUAAUACAUGCAAGUCGAGCGAACAGAUGAAGUGCUUGCACUUCUGACGUUAGCGGCGAACGGGUGAGUAACACGUAAGGAAUCUACCUAUAAGCGGGGGAUAACAUUCGGAAACGGGUGCUAAUACCGCAUAAUAUCUUCUUCCGCAUGGAAGAAGAUUGAAAGACGGCUCUGCUGUCACUUAUAGAUGACCCUGCGGUGCAUUAGUUAGUUGGUGGGGUAACGGCCUACCAAGACGAUGAUGCAUGGCCGACCUGAGAGGGUGAUCGGCAACAUUGGGACUGAGACACGGCCCAAACUCCUACGGGAGGCAGCAGUAGGGAAUCUUCCGCAAUGGGCGAAAGCCUGACGGAGCAAUGCCGCGUGAGUGAAGAAGGCCUUCGGGUCGUAAAACUCUGUUAUAAGAGAAGAACAAAUUGUAGAGUAACUGCUACAGUCUUGACGGUAUCUUAUCAGAAAGCCACGGCUAACUACGUGCCAGCCGCCGCAGUAA
rnacentral:rRNA from 1 species